AAGUGUUGGUGGGACAAAUCUGUUGUCCCCUUGAUGUCAAAAUCCAAUUUCAAUCUUUACAGAAGAUACUUUUGAUGUGUUUAUGCUGCAAAGAAGAAGGUAGUUUUCUUGUUUUUUUUCAUGAUUAGUUCCAGAAAUAUGUUAAGGUCGAUUUUGAUGGUUGAGUAUGUGUAAUGCUUUUUAGCUAGAGAAUGAUAAGCAUACAUUCAAGUUGAUUGAUGAGGCAAUAUUAGACAAAACAGAAGCACUAGAAUGCAAAAAUAUGAGAAUUGAGAAAGAGUUGAAAGAGAUUGCAAGAUAGAUUUUGGUGUUUGAGAAGGUGAAAAUCUGACCAUGUACUAAAAACCGAAAACAAACAUGUUAAACAUAUAAAAACUCAUGCAUUUAGUUUCAUUUAUCAACAAUAAGCAUAUACUUACUUUUGACGAUGAGACACCAAAAUAAAUCCAGAGCCAUCAUUAAGUGCUAAGUCUCCUUUAUCAUUG
rnacentral:lncRNA from 1 species